rfam:Ipomoea nil DNA, scaffold: scaffold2191, cultivar: Tokyo-kokei standard.
GCUCUUGUAGCUUAGUUGGUUAGAGCACUCGUUUAGUAAGCGGGAGGUCUUGAGUUCAACUCUCAACAAGAGCA